rnacentral:rRNA from 1 species
GAUGAACGCUGGCGGCGUGCCUAAUACAUGCAAGUCGAGCGAACGGACGAGAAGCUUGCUUCUCUGAUGUUAGCGGCGGACGGGUGAGUAACACGUGGAUAACCUACCUAUAAGACUGGGAUAACUUCGGGAAACCGGAGCUAAUACCGGAUGAUAUUUUGAACCGCAUGGUUCAAAAGUGAAAGACGGUCUUGCUGUCACUUAUAGAUGGAUCCGCGCUGCAUUAGCUAGUUGGUAAGGUAACGGCCUACCAAGGCAACGAUGCAUAGCCGACCUGAGAGGGUGAUCGGCCACACUGGAACUGAGACACGGUCCAGACUCCUACGGGAGGCAGCAGUAGGGAAUCUUCCGCAAUGGGCGAAAGCCUGACGGAGCAACGCCGCGUGAGUGAUGAAGGUCUUCGGAUCGUAAAACUCUGUUAUUAGGGAAGAACAUAUGUGUAAGUAACUGUGCACAUCUUGACGGUACCUAAUCAGAAAGCCACGGCUAACUACGUG